rnacentral:lncRNA from 1 species
UUAAUAUCAAUAUGCAGGAGACUGAGUUGACUUCGGAGUGGUUGUUGAAUUUGAUUAGCAAAGAGAUAGAAGAGACUAUCCUAAGUGUGACUAAUGUGCUUUCAGGUAUUUGGUUCUCGAGAAACAAAAGGGUGUGGGAAGGCAGAAUCAUAACACCUGCAGUGACCAUGGAGGUGAGUGCUAAGACGAUGCAGGAGUGGAGAGAAGCGAACAAGAGAAAAGAAAGAUCGAGUAUUAUGCAUCCUGAGACAGAAGACCAAGAUCAAAUACAGUGGCAGCCUCCUGAUAUAGGAACUUACAAACUAAAUGUUGACGCAU